CCUCAAUGGGAAGUGGAAUCUCUUUCUCCACCUCUUCAAUAUGGCUGGCCCUGGAACUUCCCUUGGCACACAGAAUGCAGCAGAAUUGGCUUCAUAUUGUUUCUAAGCCUUGGCCUCAGAGGCCUUGCAUGCUUCCUAACCCUGGCUCUAGGAAACUUGCUGCUGUCAUGUAAUCAAGCCCAGGCUAACCUGCUGAAUGUUGGUGUGUCCCAGUCAAAUCCAGCACUGCAACCAAUAGCCAGCCAGCCACCAGACAUGUGAGUGGGGCCACCUCACACCAGCCAACCUCCACCAAGUCAUCAGAUGUAUGAGUGAGAACAGCCCAGAACAACUGAGCCCGUCCAGACCAGCGGAACGACCAAGCUGACCAGUAGACUUAGGAGCAGUAAACAGAUGAUUGUUCUGGAAGCCAUUCCGUUUAGGGUGUGUGUGUUAUUGCUUGCAUCCAAAUACAUCCUAUCUCAUCUAGUGAGAAAAGGCCCCGCUCAAGGGCUUUUGCAGCUGUAGUUGGGCGCCGGAAGUGUCUUUGUGGUCAUUUCUUACUCCAUACACGGGGAGAUCAAGGCUCAGACCAGAUUUCUGUUGUUCAAAGAAGUAAAC
rnacentral:lncRNA from 1 species